rnacentral:rRNA from 1 species
UACAGAGGGGGCUAGCGUUAUUCGGAAUUAUUGGGCGUAAAGGGCGCGUAGGCGGCCGUGUAAGUCACUUGUGAAAUCCCGGGGCUCAACUCCGGGGCUGCAGGUGAGACUGCGUGGCUAGAGCACGGUAGAGGCGAGUGGAAUUCCCGGUGUAGCGGUGGAAUGCGUAGAUAUCAGGAAGAACACCUAUGGCGAAAGCAGCUCUCUGGGACGGUACUGACGCUGAGACGCGAAAGCGUGGGGAGCGAACAGG